ensembl:ncRNA lncRNA:CR44707 long non-coding RNA:CR44707
UAUGGCACGCGCCGCGAAUGGAAUGGUAAUUCAAGCCCCUAGCCAAAUGUGCUGCGUCCGAUGGUUUUGCGACAUUAAUGGAGCAUCUCGCAUUUGGUGGCAAAGUCCAAGGUUGAGCAGCAGAACAGUGGCCGCAGCGGGCCCAGCUGGCCAGGCCCUCGUCUGCUCUUUCACCCAGAGUCAGCGAUUUGACCGGCGUCGCAGGUCGCAUUUUGGAUACUCCAGCGCUUGGAGCUUGUUGCAUUGCCGACCGAUUUGCCAGCAAUUAAGCUGUGAGGAAUGCGCCGACGAAUGGGUUAAGUCACGGCGAUCCGUGGCAGAAGACACCCGAGUGAAGUCAGCUGCUUGCGGUCAUACGAUCCGACCCAUCUCGAUUUUUACGGGGUAGCCGGUAAUGCACAUCUGGUGCCUCCCAAAAACUGCGACUUCAGCAAUUAGUGGCUUUGUUUUCAGUGAUUCGUGUGAUUUGUGUGAUUUGAGUGAUUUGUGUGCUUUGCGGCGACUAUUUGCACGACGGACGGAUGGAUAGACGGGCGGAUGGAUGGACGGCUGGAUGGACGGACGGCCAAGCCAGCGUUCGUUUAACCCAUCCAUCCAAGCAACCGACUAUAGACAUACGGCUACGACUACGACUACGACUACGGCAGCCACCCAAAGAACGUGCCAGUGGAUUCCAGUGACUACAUUCUGUCGGGUCUUGGAAUCGCCACAGUUGGCGCAGUGCUGGCAAUAAAAUUGAAAGAAUUUACAUUCGGUCACAUUUUCAUUUCAAUCUCCGUCUCAAUGGCCGCUACUUCGGAGUGAAUGUGGAUUUGGAUUCGCAAUCAGAUUCGGAUGCGGAUCCAGGGCAAAGACUGAGCGUAGCCUGAUACAUAUGUCGCUAUCCUUGCUUGAGUAAAAUACCGUGUUAAUUGAUUCAUUGCAUAUAUAAUAAUAUUGUAAAAUCCUUGAUCGUUUUGCAAGAAUGAUGACUGAUUUAAAAAUUUUUAACCCUAAGAUCUAUGGUAUUGUAUUAAUGCCUACGGUGAUUUUGAAUUAUUAUAAAGUUAUGCCCUGAAGACAAAAAGCCGAUGAAAUCAUAAAUAUCCUAAUUACU